UUCCAGACUCCUACGGGAGGCAGCAGUGGGGAAUAUUGCACAAUGGGGGAAACCCUGAUGCAGCGACGCCGCGUGAGUGAAGAAGUAUUUCGGUAUGUAAAGCUCUAUCAGCAGGGAAGAUAAUGACGGUACCUGACUAAGAAGCCCCGGCUAACUACGUGCCAGCAGCCGCGGUAAUACGUAGGGGGCAAGCGUUAUCCGGAUUUACUGGGUGUAAAGGGUGCGUAGGUGGCAUGGCAAGUCAGAAGUGAAAGCCCGGGGCGCAACCCCGCGGACUGCUUUUGAAACUGUCAGGCUGGAGUACAGGAGAGGUAAGCGGAAUUCCUAGUGUAGCGGUGAAAUGCGUAGAUAUUAGGAGGAACACCAGUGGCGAAGGCGGCUUACUGGACUGUAACUGACACUGAGGCACGAAAGCGUGGGGAGCAAACAGGAUUAGAUACCCCAGUAUA
rnacentral:rRNA from 1 species